AGAGUUUGAUCCUGGCUCAGGAUGAACGCUGGCGGCGUGCCUAACACAUGCAAGUCGAGCGAAGCGCGCCCCGGAAUCCUUCGGGAGGAAGGGUCGCGACUGAGCGGCGGACGGGUGAGUAACGCGUGGGCAACCUGCCCCAUACAGGGGGACAACCCGCCGAAAGGCGGGCUAAGCCCGCGUAUAUCGCCCCGGGGCAUCCCGGGGGGAGGAAAGGAGCGAUCCGGACAGGGAUGGGCAUGCGGCGCAUUAGCUGGUCGGCGGGGUAACGGCCCACCGAGGCGACGAUGCGUAGGGGUUCUGAGAGGAAGGCCCCCCACACUGGUACUGAGACACGGACCAGACUCCUACGGGAGGCAGCAGUAAGGAAUAUUGGUCAAUGGGCGGGAGCCUGAACCAGCCAAGCCGCGUGAGGGAAGAAGGUACAGCGUAUCGUAAACCUCUUUUGUCAGGGAACAAAGGCGGGGACUAGUCCCCGGAUGAGGGUACCUGAAGAAAAAGCAUCGGCUAACUCCGUGCCAGCAGCCGCGGUAAUACGGAGGAUGCGAGCGUUAUCCGGAUUUAUUGGGUUUAAAGGGUGCGCAGGCGGCCUGUUAAGUCAGCGGUAAAAGCCCGGGGCUCAACCCCGGCGAGCCGUUGAAACUGGCGGGCUGGAGUUGGAGAGAAGUACGCGGAAUGCGCGGUGUAGCGGUGAAAUGCUUAGAUAUCGCGCAGAACCCCGAUUGCGAAGGCAGCGUACCGGCUCCACACUGACGCUGAGGCACGAAAGCGUGGGUAUCGAACAGGAUUAGAUACCCUGGUAGUCCACGCAGUAAACGAUGAAUGCUUGCUGUCCGGGCAGAA
rnacentral:rRNA from 1 species